rnacentral:rRNA from 1 species
ACUAAGCGUACACGGUGGAUGCCCUGGCAGUCAGAGGCGAUGAAGGACGUGCUAAUCUGCGAUAAGCGUCGGUAAGGUGAUAUGAACCGUUAUAACCGGCGAUUUCCGAAUGGGGAAACCCAGUGUGUUUCGACACACUAUCAUUAACUGAAUCCAUAGGUUAAUGAGGCGAACCGGGGGAACUGAAACAUCUAAGUACCCCGAGGAAAAGAAAUCAACCGAGAUUCCCCCAGUAGCGGCGAGCGAACGGGGAGCAGCCCAGAGCCUGAAUCAGUGUGUGUGUUAGUGGAAGCGUCUGGAAAGGCGCGCGAUACAGGGUGACAGCCCCGUACACAAAAAUGCACAUGCUGUGAGCUCGAUGAGUAGGGCGGGACACGUGGUAUCCUGUCUGAAUAUGGGGGGACCAUCCUCCAAGGCUAAAUACUCCUGACUGACCGAUAGUGAACCAGUACCGUGAGGGAAAGGCGAAAAGAACCCCGGCGAGGGGAGUGAAAAAGAACCUGAAACCGUGUACGUACAAGCAGUGGGAGCACGCUUAGGCGUGUGACUGCGUACCUUUUGUAUAAUGGGUCAGCGACUUAUAUUCUGUAGCAAGGUUAACCGAAUAGGGGAGCCGAAGGGAAACCGAGUCUUAACUGGGCGUUAAGUUGCAGGGUAUAGACCCGAAACCCGGUGAUCUAGCCAUGGGCAGGUUGAAGGUUGGGUAACACUAACUGGAGGACCGAACCGACUAAUGUUGAAAAAUUAGCGGAUGACUUGUGGCUGGGGGUGAAAGGCCAAUCAAACCGGGAGAUAGCUGGUUCUCCCCGAAAGCUAUUUAGGUAGCGCCUCGUGAACUCAUCUCCGGGGGUAGAGCACUGUUUCGGCAAGGGGGUCAUCCCGACUUACCAACCCGAUGCAAACUGCGAAUACCGGAGAAUGUUAUCACGGGAGACACACGGCGGGUGCUAACGUCCGUCGUGAAGAGGGAAACAACCCAGACCGCCAGCUAAGGUCCCAAAGUCAUGGUUAAGUGGGAAACGAUGUGGGAAGGCCCAGACAGCCAGGAUGUUGGCUUAGAAGCAGCCAUCAUUUAAAGAAAGCGUAAUAGCUCACUGGUCGAGUCGGCCUGCGCGGAAGAUGUAACGGGGCUAAACCAUGCACCGAAGCUGCGGCAGCGACGCUUAUGCGUUGUUGGGUAGGGGAGCGUUCUGUAAGCCUGUGAAGGUGUGCUGUGAGGCAUGCUGGAGGUAUCAGAAGUGCGAAUGCUGACAUAAGUAACGAUAAAGCGGGUGAAAAGCCCGCUCGCCGGAAGACCAAGGGUUCCUGUCCAACGUUAAUCGGGGCAGGGUGAGUCGACCCCUAAGGCGAGGCCGAAAGGCGUAGUCGAUGGGAAACAGGUUAAUAUUCCUGUACUUGGUGUUACUGCGAAGGGGGGACGGAGAAGGCUAUGUUGGCCGGGCGACGGUUGUCCCGGUUUAAGCGUGUAGGCUGGUUUUCCAGGCAAAUCCGGAAAAUCAAGGCUGAGGCGUGAUGACGAGGCACUACGGUGCUGAAGCAACAAAUGCCCUGCUUCCAGGAAAAGCCUCUAAGCAUCAGGUAACAUCAAAUCGUACCCCAAACCGACACAGGUGGUCAGGUAGAGAAUACCAAGGCGCUUGAGAGAACUCGGGUGAAGGAACUAGGCAAAAUGGUGCCGUAACUUCGGGAGAAGGCACGCUGAUAUGUAGGUGAAGUCCCUUGCGGAUGGAGCUGAAAUCAGUCGAAGAUACCAGCUGGCUGCAACUGUUUAUUAAAAACACAGCACUGUGCAAACACGAAAGUGGACGUAUACGGUGUGACGCCUGCCCGGUGCCGGAAGGUUAAUUGAUGGGGUCAGCGCAAGCGAAGCUCUUGAUCGAAGCCCCGGUAAACGGCGGCCGUAACUAUAACGGUCCUAAGGUAGCGAAAUUCCUUGUCGGGUAAGUUCCGACCUGCACGAAUGGCGUAAUGAUGGCCAGGCUGUCUCCACCCGAGACUCAGUGAAAUUGAACUCGCUGUGAAGAUGCAGUGUACCCGCGGCAAGACGGAAAGACCCCGUGAACCUUUACUAUAGCUUGACACUGAACAUUGAGCCUUGAUGUGUAGGAUAGGUGGGAGGCUUUGAAGUGUGGACGCCAGUCUGCAUGGAGCCGACCUUGAAAUACCACCCUUUAAUGUUUGAUGUUCUAACGUUGACCCGUAAUCCGGGUUGCGGACAGUGUCUGGUGGGUAGUUUGACUGGGGCGGUCUCCUCCUAAAGAGUAACGGAGGAGCACGAAGGUUGGCUAAUCCUGGUCGGACAUCAGGAGGUUAGUGCAAUGGCAUAAGCCAGCUUGACUGCGAGCGUGACGGCGCGAGCAGGUGCGAAAGCAGGUCAUAGUGAUCCGGUGGUUCUGAAUGGAAGGGCCAUCGCUCAACGGAUAAAAGGUACUCCGGGGAUAACAGGCUGAUACCGCCCAAGAGUUCAUAUCGACGGCGGUGUUUGGCACCUCGAUGUCGGCUCAUCACAUCCUGGGGCUGAAGUAGGUCCCAAGGGUAUGGCUGUUCGCCAUUUAAAGUGGUACGCGAGCUGGGUUUAGAACGUCGUGAGACAGUUCGGUCCCUAUCUGCCGUGGGCGCUGGAGAACUGAGGGGGGCUGCUCCUAGUACGAGAGGACCGGAGUGGACGCAUCACUGGUGUUCGGGUUGUCAUGCCAAUGGCACUGCCCGGUAGCUAAAUGCGGAAGAGAUAAGUGCUGAAAGCAUCUAAGCACGAAACUUGCCCCGAGAUGAGUUCUCCCUGACUCCUUGAGAGUCCUGAAGGAACGUUGAAGACGACGACGUUGAUAGGCCGGGUGUGUAAGCGCAGCGAUGCGUUGAGCUAACCGGUACUAAUGAACCGUGAGGCUUAACC